rnacentral:rRNA from 1 species
UUUAGCAAGCACCUACUAAACUAGAUACUCCCGAACUCUAAGUGAGCUGAAUAUAAUUUGUUAAGAACCCAUUUUUAUUUAUCUCAUCACGUAAAAUAAAAUUAUUUUCAGAGGCUACAUACCUACCGCAUUAGAAUAUAGCUGGUAAUUUAAUAAAUCCUCUUUAGAGGAUAAAGCUAAUAGCUAUUAUAGAUAAGUUAGGAUAAUCUAACUUAUACAGUGUUAACUAUAAAUUAAUCUCCCAUGAAGUAGGCCUAAAACCAGCCAUCUUAUAUCCCGUUCCAGGAAUCAUUCUAUUAUUUUACCUACGUUACACUAUAAUAUUAAAUUAAUCUCUACAACUUCACAGAGUUUAAAUUCUGCUAAAAUUAGUAUCUUACUAUCAGCCUAUAAGGAACUCGGCAAACACUAGAUUCGACUGUUUAACAAAAACAUAGCCUCCUGACCCAAUAUAGGAGGUUCAUCCUGCUCUAUGAUAUUUAUUAAAUGGCCGCGGUAUCCUGACCGUGCAAAGGUAGCAUAAUCAUUUGCCUCCUAAUUAGAGGCUGGAAUGAAUGGACACACGAAAUCUAAGCUGUCUCAUAGGUUAUAAUAAAAAUUUAUCUCCAAGUGAAGAAACUUGGAUAAAUUUGAAAGACAAGAAGACCCUAAUGAGCUUUAAUUCUCUCCUGUUUCUCUCUAAAAUUUUAAUUAUUAACUAAACAUUAUAGAAUUUUUGUUGGGGCGACAAAAGAAAUCAAGUUACUUCUUUAUAUAAAAUAAGAGAAAUUCCUCUAAAUAUUUGACCUAAUUUUAAUUAAUCAAUAGCACUAGCUACCAUAGGGAUAACAGACUAAUUUUUCUCCAGAGCUCAAAUUUACAGAAAAGAUUGGCACCUCGAUGUUGGCUUAGAGGCCCCUUAUGAUGCAGCAGUCAUAAAAGGUGGGUUUGUUCAACCCUUAAAACUCUACAUGAGCUGAGUUCAGACCGGCGUAAGCCAGGUUAGUUUCUAUCUUCAAAUUUUAAACUACUUCUUUAUAGUACGAAAGGACCUUAAGAA